rnacentral:rRNA from 1 species
UUUCCUACGGGACGCAGCAGUGAGGAAUAUUGGUCAAUGGGCGGAAGCCUGAACCAGCCAAGUCGCGUGAGGGAAGAAGGCCCUGCGGGUCGCAGACCUCUUUGGACGGGGAGCAAGGCCGCCGACGUGUCGGCGGAAGGAGAGUACCCGUAGAAAAAGCAUCGGCUAACUCCGUGCCAGCAGCCGCGGUAAUACGGAGGAUGCGAGCGUUAUCCGGAUUUAUUGGGUUUAAAGGGUGCGCAGGCGGCCUGUUAAGUCAGCGGUAAAAGCCCGGGGCUCAACCCCGGCGAGCCGUUGAAACUGGC